CCGUAACUAUAACGGUCCUAAGGUAGCGAAAUUCCUUGUCGGGUAAGUUCCGACCUGCACGAAUGGCGUAACGAUGGCCACACUGUCUCCUCCCGAGACUCAGCGAAGUUGAAAUGGUUGUGAAGAUGCAAUCUACCCGCUGCUAGACGGAAAGACCCCGUGAACCUUUACUGUAGCUUUGCAUUGGACUUUGAAGUCACUUGUGUAGGAUAGGUGGGAGGCUUAGAAGCAGAGACGCCAGUCUCUGUGGAGCCGUCCUUGAAAUACCACCCUGGUGUCUUUGAGGUUCUAACCCAGACCCGUAAUCCGGGUCGGGGACCGUGCAUGGUAGGCAGUUUGACUGGGGCGGUCUCCUCCCAAAGAGUAACGGAGGAGUUCGAAGGUUACCUAGGUCCGGUCGGAAAUCGGACUGAUAGUGCAAUGGCAAAAGGUAGCUUAACUGCGAGACCGACAAGUCGAGCAGGUGCGAAAGCAGGACAUAGUGAUCCGGUGGUUCUGUAUGGAAGGGCCAUCGCUCAACGGAUAAAAGGUACUCCGGGGAUAACAGGCUGAUACCGCCCAAGAGUUCAUAUCGACGGCGGUGUUUGGCACCUCGAUGUCGGCUCAUCUCAUCCUGGGGCUGUAGCCGGUCCCAAGGGUAUGGCUGUUCGCCAUUUAAAGAGGUACGUGAGCUGGGUUUAAAACGUCGUGAGACAGUUUGGUCCCUAUCUGCUGUGGGCGUUGGAGAUUUGACGGGGGCUGCUCCUAGUACGAGAGGACCGGAGUGGACACACCUCUGGUGUACCUGUUGUCACGCCAGUGGCAUCGCAGGGUAGCUAAGUGUGGAAGAGAUAACCGCUGAAAGCAUCUAAGCGGGAAACUUGCCUGAAGAUGAGAUCUCCCUGGGGACUCGAUCCCCCUGAAGGGUCGUCCAAGACCAGGACGUUGAUAGGCCGGGUGUGGAAGCGCAGUAAUGCGUGCAGCUAACCGGUACUAAUUGCCCGUGAGGCUUGACCCU
rnacentral:rRNA from 1 species